UUUCCGUAGGUGAACCAGCGGAAAGAUCAUUACCGAGUUCAUGCCCUCACGGGUCGAUUUCCCACCCUUGAAUAUUUAUACCUUCGUUGCUUUGGCAGGCCGUGGAAACACCAUGGGCUCAGUCUUUUGCGUGCCUGCCAGAGGAAACAAAAUCUGUUUUUAGUGAUGUCUGAGUACUGUAUAAUAGUUAAAACUUUCAACAACGGAUCUCUUGGUUCUG
rnacentral:misc_RNA from 1 species